AAAGCAGUGCAAAGAAAAAAAAAUCCAAGGAUUACAAAUAAUAAGAGAAGGCUACAUCUUAUCUCCUGAAAGUAAUCAAUUUAGCUAUCUGUCAUAACAGGAACACAUACAACCCUUUUAUACAACAAAGAGAAAGAUUUGGAUUCAUAGAAGAGCAGGGAUAUAAGGGAGAAGGCAAUGAAGCACC